UACGUAGGGGGCAAGCGUUGUCCGGAUUUAUUGGGCGUAAAGAGCGUGUAGGCGGCCAUUCAGGUCAGCUGUGAAAACUCGAGGCUCAACCUCGAGACGUCGGUUGAAACCGUUUGGCUAGAGUCCGGAAGAGGAGAGUGGAAUUCCCGGUGUAGCGGUGAAAUGCGCAGAUAUCAGGAGGAACACCAACAGCGAAGGCAGAUCUCUGGGACGUAACUGACGCUGAGACGCGAAAGCGUGGGGAGCAAACAGG
rnacentral:rRNA from 1 species